rnacentral:rRNA from 1 species
GACGAGCGCUGGCGGUGUGCUUAACACAUGCAAGUGGUGCGACGAACCAGAGCUUGCUCUGGGGCAAAGCCGCGAACGGGUGAGUAACACGUGGGUAAUCUACCCCGAUGACCGGGACAACCCGAGGAAACUCGGGCUAAUACCGGAUGUGGUGCGGAGACAUAAGUCUCUUCACUAAAGGUAGCUUCGGCUUCCGCAUUGGGAGGGGCCCGCGGCCCAUUAGCUUGUUGGUGGGGUCAAGGCCUACCAAGGCAACGAUGGGUAGCUGGUCUGAGAGGACGAUCAGCCACACUGGGACUGAGACACGGCCCAGACUCCUACGGGAGGCAGCAGUGGGGAAUCUUGCGCAAUGCGCGAAAGCGUGACGCAGCAACACCGCGUGAGGGAAGAAGGCCUUAGGGUUGUAAACCUCUUUCAGAUGGGACGAAGGUUCUCCGGUGAAUAGCCGAGAGGAUUGACGGUACCGUCAGAAGAAGCUCCGGCUAACUACGUG